AGACGUCUACAUUAGAUACCCGCGUAGUCCCAGCCCUAAACGAUGCGCGUUAGGUGUAUCGGUGACCACGAGUCACCGAGGUGCCGAAGGGAAACCGUGAAACGUGCCGCCAGGGAAGUACGGUCGCAAGGCUGAAACUUAAAGGAAUUGCGGGGGAGCACCACAACGGGUGGAGCCUGCGGUUUAAUUGGACUCAACGCCGGGAAGCUCACCGGAUAAGACAGCGGAAUGAUUGCCGGGCUGAAGACCCUGCAUGACCAGCUG
rnacentral:rRNA from 1 species